GCAUCAAAUGUUCUUCUCCAUCAGAUUGUGCCAUGAGAGGAGUCAUCUUAAAAGCAUGAAAGAUACUAGCUGAUGCUUCUCUUGGAAAUUUUUCCAAAGGCCAGUGAUAUGGUUUGGUUGUGUCCCCACCCAAAUCUCCUCUUGAAUUGUAGCUCCCACAAUUCUCACGUAUCGUGGGAGGUAAUUGAAUCAUGAUGAGAAUGGCCUAACAAGCCAAUAUAUUAUUCCCUUCUUGUAGU
rnacentral:lncRNA from 1 species